UACGUAGGGGGCAAGCGUUGUCCGGAAUUAUUGGGCGUAAAGCGCGCGCAGGCGGUGAUUUAAGUUUGGUGUAUAAUUCCGGGGCUCAACCCCGGGUCGCACUGAAAACUGGGACACUUGAGUGCGGGAGAGGAAAGUGGAAUUCCACGUGUAGCGGUGAAAUGCGUAGAUAUCUGGAGGAACACCGGUGGCGGAAGGCGGCGAUCCUGGACCGGCAUUGACGCCUGAGGAGCGAAAGCCAGGGGAGCAAACGGGG
rnacentral:rRNA from 1 species